rnacentral:tRNA from 1 species
UCCGGGGUCGUCUAACGGCAGGACGGGGGACUUUGGAUCCCUUGGUGGAGGUUCGAAUCCUCCCCCCGGAG